UCCAAUCGAACUCGGAUAUAGCUGGUUCUCCCCGAAAUAGCUUUAGGGCUAGCGUCGAGGUAGAGUCGCAUGGAGGUAGAGCACUGAAUGUACGAUGGCCCCAUCCCGGGGUACUGAGUAUAAUCAAACUCCGAAUGCCAUGCAGACGUACUCGGCAGUCAGACUGUGGGUGAUAAGGUCCAUGGUCAAAAGGGAAACAGCCCAGACCGCCAGUUAAGGUCCCAAAAUGUAUGCUAAGUGGAAAAGGAUGUGGGGAUGCACAGACAACUAGGAGGUUGGCUCAGAAGCAGCCAUCCUUCAAAGAGUGCGUAACAGCUCACUAGUCGAGUGACCCUGCGCCGAAAAUGUACCGGGGCUAAGCAUACUACCGAAGCUGCGGAUUCAACUUUAGAGUUGAGUGGUAGGGGAGCGUUGCAUGCACGUAGAAGCCGUACCGUAAGGAGCGGUGGAGAGCAUGGAAGAGAGAAUGCCGGUGUGAGUAGCGAGAUGUAGGUGAGAAUCCUACACACCGAUAGCCCAAGGAUUCCAGGGGAAGGUUCGUCCGCCCUGGGUAAGUCGGGACCUAAGGCGAGGCCGAAAGGCGUAGUGGAUGGAAAACAGGCAGAUAUUCCUGUACCCGCGAUGGAAAUGAAGGAAUGACGGAGAAGGCUAGUGUGAGCCACUGAACGGAUUGUGGUCAAAGCAUAUAGCAGGCUGACAGUGAAAUGCGUCAGCGGGAUGUAAGAUGUGACAGGUAAGGGAACGUCCUUGGACAAGUACUGAAGCACAUGAUGCCAGCUUCCAAGAAAAGUUUCUAGUGAUAAUUCCAUAGCGGCCCGUACCAAAACCGACACAGGUGGGCAAGGAGAGAAUCCUGAGGUGAGCGAGAGAACUGUUGCCAAGGAACUCGGCAAAAUGACUCCGUAAGUUAGCGAUAAGGAGUGCUCUUGUAAAAGAGAGCCGCAGUGAAGAGGCCCAAGCGACUGUUUAACUAAAACACAGCUCUCUGCAAAGUCGCAAGACGAAGUAUAGGGGGUGACGCCUGCCCGGUGCUGGAAGGUUAAGAGGAUUUGUCAUCCGCAAGGAGAAGCAAUGAAUUGAAGCCCCAGUGAACGGCGGCCGUAACUAUAACGGUCCUAAGGUAGCGAAAUUCCUUGUCAGGUAAGUUCUGACCCGCACGAAAGGCGUAACGAUUUGGGCGCUGUCUCGGCAGCAGACUCGGUGAAAUCUUAGUACCUGUGAAAAUGCAGGUUACCCGCAACUAGACGGAAAGACCCCAUGGAGCUUUACUGUAGCCUGAUAUUGAAUUUUGAUCAAAGAUGUACAGGAUAGGUGGGAGGCGAAGAGACGUGUACGCCAGUAUACGAGGAGCCGCUGUUGGGAUACCACUCUUGUUUGAUUGAAGUUCUAACCUGCACCCAUGAACUGGGUGAGGGACCGUGUCAGGUGGGCAGUUUGACUGGGGCGGUCGCCUCCUAAAGAGUAACGGAGGCGCCCAAAGGUUCCCUCAGAAUGGUUGGAAAUCAUUCGCAGAGUG
rnacentral:rRNA from 1 species